rnacentral:rRNA from 1 species
GAUGAACGCUAGCGGCAGGCCUAACACAUGCAAGUCGAGGGGUAGCAGGAUUAAGCUUGCUUAAUUGCUGACGACCGGCGCACGGGUGCGUAACGCGUAUGCAACCUACCUUAUACUGGGGUAUAGCCCGGAGAAAUUCGGAUUAAUCCCCCAUAGUACUAAUGAAUCGCAUGGUUUAUUAGUUAAAGCAUUGCGGUAUAAGAUGGGCAUGCGUCCUAUUAGCUAGAUGGUGAGGUAACGGCUCACCAUGGCUACGAUAGGUAGGGGGCCUGAGAGGGUGGUCCCCCACACUGGUACUGAGACACGGACCAGACUCCUACGGGAGGCAGCAGUGAGGAAUAUUGGUCAAUGGGCGCAAGCCUGAACCAGCCAUGCCGCGUGCAGGAUGAAUGCCCUAUGGGUUGUAAACUACUUUUAUUUGGGAAUAAACCUCUUUACGUGUAGAGAGCUGAAGGUACCAAAUGAAUAAGCACCGGCUAACUCCGUGCCAGCAGCCGCCGUAA